rnacentral:rRNA from 1 species
AAMGUGAUUCCCAGAAGAAAGCACCGGGCUAACUCCGUGCCAGCAGCCGCGGUAAUACGGAGGGUGCRAGCGUUAAUCGGAAUUACUGGGCGUAAAGGGUGCGUAGGUGGUUGAUUAAGUUAUCUGUGAAAUUCCUGGGCUUAACCUGGGACGGUCAGAUAAUACUGGUUGACUCGAGUAUGGGAGAGGGUAGUGGAAUUUCCGGUGUAGCGGUGAAAUGCGUAGAGAUCGGAAGGAACACCAGUGGCGAAGGCGGCUACCUGGCCUAAUACUGACACUGAGGCACGAAAGCGUGGGGAGCAAACAGGAUUARAUACCCUGGUAGUCCACGCUGUAAACGAUGUCAACUAGGCUGUUGG